UACGAAGGGGGCUAGCGUUGCUCGGAAUCACUGGGCGUAAAGGGUGCGCAGGCGGUUAUAUAAGACAGAUGUGAAAUCCCCGGGCUCAACCUGGGAACUGCGUUUGUGACUGUAUGACUAGAGUACGGUAGAGAGGGGUGGAAUUCCUGGUGUAGCAGUGAAAUGCGUAGAUAUCAGGAGGAACAUCGAUGGCGAAGGCAGCCCCUUGGACCUGUACUGACGCUCAUGCACGAAAAGCGUGGGGGAGCAAACAGG
rnacentral:rRNA from 1 species